rnacentral:rRNA from 1 species
GAUGAACGCUGGCGGCGUGCCUAAUACAUGCAAGUAGAACGCUGAAGGAGGAGCUUGCUCUUCUGGAUGAGUUGCGAACGGGUGAGUAACGCGUAGGUAACCUGCCUGGUAGCGGGGGAUAACUAUUGGAAACGAUAGCUAAUACCGCAUGACAACAGUUAUUGCAUGAUAACUGUUUAAAAGGGGCAACUGCUCCACUACCAGAUGGACCUGCGUUGUAUUAGCUAGUUGGUGAGGUAACGGCUCACCAAGGCGACGAUACAUAGCCGACCUGAGAGGGUGAUCGGCCACACUGGGACUGAGACACGGCCCAGACUCCUACGGGAGGCAGCAGUAGGGAGUCUUCGGCAAUGGACGGAAGUCUGACCGAGCAACGCCGCGUGAGUGAAGAAGGUUUUCGGAUCGUAAAGCUCUGUUGUAAGAGAAGAACGAGUGUGAGAGUGGAAAGUUCACACUGUGACGGUAUCUUACCAGAAAGGGACGGCUAACUACGUG